GGUGAAAAGCACCCCGGAAGGGGAGUGAAAUAGAACCUGAAACCGUGUGCUUACAAGUAGUCAGAGCCCGUUAAUGGGUGAUGGCGUGCCUUUUGUAGAAUGAACCGGCGAGUUACGAUUUGAUGCAAGGUUAAGCAGUAAAUGUGGAGCCGUAGCGAAAGCGAGUCUGAAUAGGGCGUUUAGUAUUUGGUCGUAGACCCGAAACCAGGUGAUCUACCCUUGGUCAGGUUGAAGUUCAGGUAACACUGAAUGGAGGACCGAACCGACUUACGUUGAAAAGUGAGCGGAUGAACUGAGGGUAGCGGAGAAAUUCCAAUCGAACCUGGAGAUAGCUGGUUCUCUCCGAAAUAGCUUUAGGGCUAGCCUCAAGUGAUGAUUAUUGGAGGUAGAGCACUGUUUGGACGAGGGGCCCCUCUCGGGUUACCGAAUUCAGACAAACUCCGAAUGCCAAUUAAUUUAACUUGGGAGUCAGAACAUGGGUGAUAAGGUCCGUGUUCGAAAGGGAAACAGCCCAGACCACCAGCUAAGGUCCCAAAAUAUAUGUUAAGUGGAAAAGGAUGUGGCGUUGCCCAGACAACUAGGAUGUUGGCUUAGAAGCAGCCAUCAUUUAAAGAGUGCGUAAUAGCUCACUAGUCGAGUGACACUGCGCCGAAAAUGUACCGGGGCUAAACAUAUUACCGAAGCUGUGGAUUGUCCUUUGGACAAUGGUAGGAGAGCGUUCUAAGGGCGUUGAAGCAUGAUCGUAAGGACAUGUGGAGCGCUUAGAAGUGAGAAUGCCGGUGUGAGUAGCGAAAGACGGGUGAGAAUCCCGUCCACCGAUUGACUAAGGUUUCCAGAGGAAGGCUCGUCCGCU
rnacentral:rRNA from 1 species